rnacentral:rRNA from 1 species
AGUGAACGCUGGCGGUAGGCCUAACACAUGCAAGUCGAACGGCAGCACAGUAAUAGCUUGCUCUUACGGGUGGCGAGUGGCGGACGGGUGAGGAAUACAUCGGAAUCUACUUUUUCGUGGGUGAUAACGUAGGGAAACUUACGCUAAUACCGCAUACGACCUACGGGUGAAAGCAGGGGAUCUUCGGACCUUGCGCGAUUGAAUGAGCCGAUGUCGGAUUAGCUAGUUGGCGGGGUAAAGGCCCACCAAGGCGACGAUCCGUAGCUGGUCUUAGAGGAUGAUCAGCCACACUGGAACUGAGACACGGUCCAGACUCCUACGGGAGGCAGCAGUGGGGAAUAUUGGACAAUGGGCGCAAGCCUGAUCCAGCCAUACCGCGUGGGUGAAGAAGGCCUUCGGGUUGUAAAGCCCUUUUGUUGGGAAAGAAAAGCAGCAGGUUAAUACCCCGCUGUUCUGACGGUACCAAAAGAAUAAGCACCGGCUAACUUCGUG